CUGAAACUCAAGCCCUGUUUACACGCAAAGUAAUGCACAUUGUAAUCCAGAUUAGAUAAUGCGCAUUAGUGCGUUUACACAGCCACAAAGCCAGUUGUGGUUUUAUGCUGUGUAAACAGUCUGAACCGGAUUAGUAACCUCAUGCAAAGUGCUUCAAUUGGAAAAGAAGUAAGAAUCUUGGAAAGAGGACCUUAUGUAACAGUUUGGAGUGAUCUAAUGGCUCACAAUAAUAAAAUGUACUGGCCUCUCCUUCAGUAUUGGCCACAGCACCGGCACUCUCCACUGGAAACUGUGGCUGAAUUUGACUGCCAUCUGUGUUAAUAAAUUUAAGAUAAGUAUCAAGUGUAUCAUUAUAAUUAUUGUACCGUCUGUAUCCUCCACAAUCUCAUCCACCCUUUCCUCCAUCUCAGAGCUUGUGUCAACGAGGAAAGAUGGAGCGGAGGCUGGUCGGUGCCCCAGAAUCCUAUCCAGCUCGUCAUAAAACUUACAUGUUUUCCUCCUUUCCCCAGUCUUGUUAUUGCUAUCCUUUACUUUUUUGUAGUUUGUUUUUAAGUUUUUAAUUUUUAUCCUACAUUGCGUCCAGUCUCUUUCAUAUUCCUUUUUCUUCAUUUCUUGUGCUAUUUUUUCGUAAAUUACUUUAUUUCUUACAGCUCCGUCCAGUUGCUGCUGCAAGUCACUAGCUCCCCAGAUAGCUAUUAGUGCCUUCAUUUCAUUGUCACUCCAGUAUGUGCCUCUGUUCAUUGUCUUCUCUUCUUAUAGGACUUCUUAUGCCACAAAUGAAUUCUUUGCA